CAUGCGCUCAACGUAUGGGCUGCCGGGAAUACUGCAUAACUAGGAAGUGGGAGAGGUAGACGGUACUCGGUAGGAAGGGGUAAAAUCCUUUGAUCUAUUGAUGACCACCUGUGGCGAAGGCGGUCUACCAGAACACGUUCUACGGUGAGGGAUGAAAGCUGGGGGAGCAAACCGGAUUAGAUACCCGGGUAGUCCCAGCUGUAAACUAUGCAAACUCAGUGAUGCAUUGGCUUGUGGCCAAUGCAGUGCUGCAGGGAAGCCGUUAAGUUUGCCGCCUGGGAAGUACGUACGCAAGUAUGAAACUUAAAGGAAUUGGCGGGGGAGCACCACAAGGGGUGAAGCCUGCGGUUCAAUUGGAGUCAACGCCAGAAAUCUUACCCGGAGAGACUGCAGAAUGAAGGUCAAGCUGAAGACUUUACCAGACAAGCUGAGAGGUGGUGCAUGGCCGUCGCCAGCUCGUGCCGUGAGAUGUCCUGUUAAGUCAGGUAACGAGCGAGAUCCCUGCCUCUAGUUGCCACCAUUACUCUCAGGAGUAGUGGGGCGAAUUAGCGGGACCGCCGCAGUUAAUGCGGAGGAAGGAAGGGGCCACGGCAGGUCAGUAUGCCCCGAAACUCUGGGGCCACACGCGGGCUGCAAUGGUGGUGACAAUUGGUUCCGAAUCCGAAAGGAGGAGGUAAUCCCUAAACGCUACCACAGUUAUGACUGAGGGCUGCAACUCGCCCUCACGAAUAUGGAAUCCCUAGUAACUGCGUGCCAUUAUCGCGCGGUGAAUACGUCCCUGCUCCUUGCACACACCGCCCGUCGUUUCAUUGAAGUUUGCUUUUAGCGAGGUGACGUCUGAUUG
rnacentral:rRNA from 1 species